AUUUUCCUAUCACCAUAGAGAUAACAAACACCGGAAAGAAACCCAACUUCUUUAUCCCCAAGAAACAGCUGGCUAGGGAGUUAGCGCAGGCUAAUCGCACUCCUAAAGAAUGGUGGAGCGAGGAACUCAAUAAACUCUACAGACUACACGUGGCAAAAC